UUUCAAUUUUAAAUUGAGAGUUUGAUCCUGGCUCAGAACGAACGCUGGCGGCACGCUUAACACAUGCAAGUCGAACGAAGGCCCAGAGCUUGCUUUGGGUACCUUAGUGGCGGACGGGUGAGUAUCACGUGGGAAUCUACCCUAGAAUGGGGAAUAACUACUGGAAACGGUGGCUAAUACCGCAUAAUCCCUCAGGGGGAAAGGCUUCGGCCGUUCUUGGAGGAGCCCGCGUCAGAUUAGGUUGUUGGUAGGGUAAUGGCCUACCAAGCCGACGAUCUGUAGCUGAUCUGAGAGGAUGAUCAGCCACACUGGGACUGAGACACGGCCCAGACUCCUACGGGAGGCAGCAGUGAGGAAUAUUGGACAAUGGGGGAAACCCUGAUCCAGCCAUGCCGCGUGAGUGAAGAAGGCCCUAGGGUUGUAAAACUCUUUCACGGGGGACGAUGAUGACGGUACCCCGAGAAGAAGCCCCGGCUAACUCCGUGCCAGCAGCCGCGGUAAUACGGAGGGGGCUAGCGUUGUUCGGAAUCACUGGGCGUAAAG
rnacentral:rRNA from 1 species